rnacentral:lncRNA from 1 species
GGUGGAGCUUCCUCUGGCAGAUCAAAAGGUGGAGCUACUAAAUUUGGUCGUAAAUCGAGAGAAGGCAGUAAAGCUGAUAGCAAAUCCAAAGGUACUGUUGGAAAAUCAGAUGAUGAGCAUAUUGGAAAAUUGAAGGAUCACACCCUAAAAAGUAGUGGUAAAUCAGUUGAUGUUGUUCAGAAGACAUCCAGCAAAUCGAAGAACAAUGAUAGCCAGACACCUAAAAGUACCAAAUCCAAGGAAGAUGACAGCAGCACACAUAGGGCUUCCACCAAAUCGAAGCAAGACACACAGAAGGCUGGGAAGUCAAAUCAGGGCACACCAAAGACUGCCUCCAUU